GGCGAACGCUGGCGGCGUGCUUAACACAUGCAAGUCGAACGGUGAAGCGCCUUCCUUUUUGGUGGGUGUGGAUGAGUGGCGAACGGGUGAGUAACACGUGAGUAACCUGCCCCCUUCUUCUGGAUAACCGCAUGAAAGUGUGGCUAAUACGGGAUAUUCUGGGUCUGUCGCAUGAUGGGUCUGGGAAAGAUAUUGUUUCGGUGGGGGAUGGGCUCGCGGCCUAUCAGCUUGUUGGUGGGGUGAUGGCCUACCAAGGCGGUGACGGGUAGCCGGCCUGAGAGGGUGGACGGUCACACUGGGACUGAGACACGGCCCAGACUCCUACGGGAGGCAGCAGUGGGGAAUAUUGCACAAUGGGCGCAAGCCUGAUGCAGCGACGCCGCGUGAGGGAUGGAGGCCUUCGGGUUGUGAACCUCUUUCGCCAGUGAAGCAGGCCUGCCUCGUUUGUGGGUGGGUUGACGGUAGCUGGACAAGAAGCGCCGGCUAACUACGUG
rnacentral:rRNA from 1 species